rnacentral:rRNA from 1 species
UGAGCAAUCUGCCCUUCUCUUCGGAAUAAGCGUUGGAAACGACGUCUAAUGCCGAAUACGACCUCCUUUCGCAUGAUCGGAGGUGGAAAGCUCCGGCGGAGAAGGAUGAGCUCGCGGCCUAUCAGCUAGUUGGUGUGGGUAAUGGCCCACCAAGGCGACGACGGGUAGCCGGCCUGAGGAGGGUGACCGGCCACACGUGGGACUGAGACACGGCCCAGACCUCCGUACGGGA